rnacentral:tRNA from 1 species
GUGGGUAUAGUUCAGUGGUAGAGUGCAUGCUUAGCAUGCACAAGGUCUUGGGUUCAACCCCCAAUGCCUCUA